CUAAGGGAGUCUCGGCCCUGGAAAAGGGUGAGUACAUAUAUUUUAAAGAAGGUGGGGGGGCCUCCCUUGGAAUAUCAUACGCAGUACUGGAGAAUGUAUCUCCAGAAGGAUACUGAUACCUAGCAGAGAGUUCAGAGAAGGGCUACUAAGCUGGUUCAUGAAUUUCAGGAUAAAACUGACCAGGAGGAAAGACGAGACAGGGGUGAUAUGAUAGAAACAUUUAAAUACAUAAAGGGAAUCAACACAGUAAAGGAGACUAUAUUUAAAAGAAGAAAAACUACCACAACAAGAGGACAUAGUCUUAAAUUAUAGGGGCAAAGGUUUAAAAAUAUCAGGAAUUAUUACUUUACUGAGUGGGUAGUGGAUGCAUGGAAUAGCCUUCUGGCUGAAGUGGUAGAGGAUAACACAGUAAAGGAGUUGAAACAUGCGUGGGAUAGGCAUAAGGCUAUCCUAACUUUAAGAUAAGGCCAGGGACUAAUGAAAGUAUUUAGAAAAUUGGGCAGACUAGAUGGGCCGAAUGGUUUCUGUUAGGAAUACAGGUUUGUAUUCCUAUUCUAUAUUGUUUAUUUAACCAUUUAAUAUCAUUAAUACCUAUGCUCAAUACUUCCAGUAGGUACAAAAUGAAAAUAAGAAUGCACACUCCAUUUAAUUGUCAAUAUUAUAUUUCAAGUGAAUGCAUCUUUUUUCCCCCCUAAUAGAGUAAACAUUCAGAGUAUAACAUUGUAAGAUUUUUCAGGCUAGUAUAAAAAACAUUAAUACUUUUUUAUUACAUACAUGUAAAACAUGAAUUAUGAUAAAGCCAAACCUCCAUUUUAGACUCCCAUAAUUUCACAACAGAGGCUCAUCACCAUUUUGCUACUGGGAGGUCUUUGGAUUUACAAAAAAAUAUUUAACCUUUUUAGUGCACACCCCUCCUGCACUGAACAGGUUAAAAUGACCAGGUAGCUGUGAGGUUUUGAUUUAAAGGAACACUAUAGUCACCUAAAUUACUUUAGCUAAAUAA